rnacentral:lncRNA from 1 species
GUUAUUUAAACUAAAAAUAUUCAUCAAACCAUGAAUUAAUCAUUUAACAUAAAGAUAAUUGAUACUAAAUGUUAUUCAAAAUAAAACUUAUCAGAACAUGAAUCAAUAAUUAAUAUCAAUUGUUGGCACAUAUCAUACUAUUACGUUUUUAUCAAAAAUGCGAUAACUAACCGACGUUCCCCCUCGAUGCAGUAAGGUUUCGUGCUUGGUGCAU